rfam:Ornithorhynchus anatinus chromosome 1, whole genome shotgun sequence.
AUGUUUAUAUAUGCAACAUAUAUAUUAAAAUUGGAAUGAUAGAGAAGAUUAGCACGUCCCCUCCACAAGGAUGACAUGCCCAUUCAUCAAGUGUUUCAUAUUUUA